rnacentral:rRNA from 1 species
AUUGAACGCUGGCGGCAGGCCUAACACAUGCAAGUCGAACGAGUGGCGGACGGGUGAGUAAUGUAUGGGAAACUGCCCGAUGGAGGGGGAUAACUACUGGAAACGGUAGCUAAUACCGCAUACCAUCGGAUGUGCCCAGCUGGGAUUAGCUAGUAGGUGGGGUAAAGGCUCACCUAGGCGACGAUCCCUAGCUGGUCUGAGAGGAUGACAAGCCACACUGGGACGGAGACACGGUCCAGACUCCUAGGCGAGGCAGAAUGGGGGAAUAUUGCACAAGGGGAGAAAGCCUGAAGCAGCCAUGUCGCGGGAAUGAAGAAGGCCUUCGGGUUGUAAAGUACUUUCAGCAAGGAGGCGUUACUCGCAGAAGAAGCACAGGCUAACUCCGUGCCAGCCGCCGCGGUAAUUC